CCUACGGGAGGCAGCAGUGGGGAAUUUUGGACAAUGGGCGCAAGCCUGAUCCAGCAAUGCCGCGUGAGUGAAGAAGGCCUUCGGGUUGUAAAGCUCUUUUGUCAGGGAAGAAACGGCAGUUUCUAAUACAGAUUGCUAAUGACGGUACCUGAAGAAUAAGCACCGGCUAACUACGUGCCAGCAGCCGCGGUAAUACGUAGGGUGCAAGCGUUAAUCGGAAUUACUGGGCGUAAAGCGUGCGCAGGCGGUUUUGUAAGUUUGUCGUGAAAUCCCCGGGCUCAACCUGGGAAUGGCGAUGAAGACUGCAAGGCUAGAAUCUGGCAGAGGGGGGUAGAAUUCCACGUGUAGCAGUGAAAUGCGUAGAGAUGUGGAGGAACACCGAUGGCGAAGGCAGCCCCCUGGGUCAAGAUUGACGCUCAUGCACGAAAGCGUGGGGAGCAAACAGGAUUAGAUACCCUGGUAGUCCACGCCCUAAACGAUGUCUACUAGUUGUCGGGUUUUAAUUAACUUGGUAACGCAGCUAACGCGUGAAGUAGACCGCCUGGGGAGUACGGUCGCAAGAUUAAAACNCAAAGGAAUUGACGG
rnacentral:rRNA from 1 species